rnacentral:rRNA from 1 species
UACGUAGGGGGCUAGCGUUGUCCGGAAUCAUUGGGCGUAAAGCGCGUGUAGGCGGCCCGGUAAGUCCGCUGUGAAAGUCGGGGGCUCAACCCUCGGAUGCCGGUGGAUACUGUCGGGCUCGAGUACGGAAGAGGCGAGUGGAAUUCCUGGUGUAGCGGUGAAAUGCGCAGAUAUCGGGAAGAACACCCGUGGCGAAGGCGGCUCUCUGGUACGUGACUGACGCUGAGACGCGAAAGCGUGGGGAGCGAACAGG